AGAACGAACGCUGGCGGCAGGCUUAACACAUGCAAGUCGAGCGCCCCGCAAGGGGAGCGGCAGACGGGUGAGUAACGCGUGGGAACAUACCCUCCGGUUCGGAAUAGCUCAGGGAAACUUGGAUUAAUACCGGAUACGGCCUAGCGGCGAAAGAUUCAUCGCCGGAGGAUUGGCCCGCGUCUGAUUAGCUAGUUGGUGGGGUAAUGGCCCACCAAGGCGACGAUCAGUAGCUGGUCUGAGAGGAUGAUCAGCCACAUUGGGACUGAGACACGGCCCAAACUCCUACGGGAGGCAGCAGUGGGGAAUAUGGACAAUGGGCGCAAGCCUGAUCCAGCCAUGCCGCGUGAGUGAUGACGGCCUUAGGGUUGUAAAGCUCUUUCGCUAGGGACGAUAAUGACGGUACCUAGACAAGAAGCCCCGGCUAACUUCGCGCCAGCAGCCGC
rnacentral:rRNA from 1 species